UACGGAGGGUGCAAGCGUUAUCCGGAUUUACUGGGUUUAAAGGGUGUGUAGGCGGGCUUUUAAGUCAGUGGUGAAAUCUCCGGGCUCAACCCGGAAACUGCCAUUGAUACUAUUAGUCUUGAAUUUUGUUGAGGUAGGCGGAAUAAGUCAUGUAGCGGUGAAAUGCAUAGAUAUGACUUAGAACACCGAUUGCGAAGGCAGCUUGCUAAACAAAUAUUGACGCUGAGGCACGAAAGCGUGGGGAUCAAACAGG
rnacentral:rRNA from 1 species